rnacentral:rRNA from 1 species
UACGAAGGGUGCAAGCGUUACUCGGAAUUACUGGGCGUAAAGCGUGCGUAGGCGGUUUGUUAAGUCCGUUGUGAAAGCCCUGGGCUCAACCUGGGAAUUGCAGUGGAUACUGGCGAGCUAGAGUGCGGUAGAGGAUGAUGGAAUUCCCGGUGUAGCGGUGAAAUGCGUAGAGAUCGGGAGGAACACCCGUGGCGAAGGCGGCCAUCUGGACCAGCACUGACGCUGAGGCACGAAAGCGUGGGGAGCAAACAGG